rnacentral:rRNA from 1 species
GUACACUCCUGCGGGAGGCAGCAGUGGGGAAUUUUGGACAAUGGGCGAAAGCCUGAUCCAGCAAUGCCGCGUGUGUGAAGAAGGCCUUCGGGUUGUAAAGCACUUUUGUCCGGAAAGAAAUCCUUGGCUCUAAUACAGUCGGGGGAUGACGGUACCGGAAGAAUAAGCACCGGCUAACUACGUGCCAGCAGCCGCGGUAAUACGUAGGGUGCGAGCGUUAAUCGGAAUUACUGGGCGUAAAGCGUGCGCAGGCGGUUUGCUAAGACCGAUGUGAAAUCCCCGGGCUCAACCUGGGAACUGCAUUGGUGACUGGCAGGCUAGAGUAUGGCAGAGGGGGGUAGAAUUCCACGUGUAGCAGUGAAAUGCGUAGAGAUGUGGAGGAAUACCGAUGGCGAAGGCAGCCCCCUGGGCCAAUACUGACGCUCAUGCACGAAAGCGUGGGGAGCAAACAGGAUUAGAAACCCUGGUAGUCCCA